CUUCCUUUUGAGUCCUGCAGUCAACAACACUUUUUGGUGCUCUUCUUCAGUUUAUACUGCAAGCAGCCACUGAGGACUCUCACUGCUCCUUCCUCCAGUAUGCUAGAAGAGAGAAAAGCUACAAGGCGAGGUCGGGUCAAUAUCCCACAGAAAGCUGAAUGGAGUGUGUGUGAAUAAGCCAACAGGAAAGAUCAACAGAGCAAGAAGCAUCCAGCAGCCAAAGGUCUUUUUCUGCACUGAAAUUUUAGUCCUGUCUCCAAUUGAAGCAUGAAAGAUAUGGCUUAAGAUAGAACACAUGAUUUUAACUGUGGAGCAUCACCUCAGGAAGAAGAAUCAAUGAGUGUACCUCCUUGGGAGCGUGUUUGCACUGAAGAAGCAAUCAAGAGUCUCAGGACACUUUACAGACAGAGAUAACUUCUGCAGCUGCUUUUGGGGAUGGCUGAGUGUCAUUAUCCCAUCACACUUGGCGACUGUCUGGGUUUGGAUGGUGAGCAACCUUCCCGAAAGUCAACUACAGGUGUAAGAAUUGUCUCCCAUCUGCUGCCACAUAGACACAAAAUGGAAACAGUGGGACAGCUACCCAGUGUAGAAACAAUUCAGUGGAAGACAUCCGACAACUCAACUUUCAGGUUGCACUGUUUUUUAUAUACAGGCAAGGGAAGAAAUCUAUUCAGACUGGAAAAGGCAGAUGGAAUUUCCUGUACUGGGUUUGCAGGAGAUGAUUCUGAAGACUGAGAAGCUAAUUCACUGCUGUCUUGAAAAUAAGUUUGAACUUGCUAAGGUCUGUUCAGUGGCUGAGUCAAACUGCUACUAAAUUCUGUCAUUCUGAAUAAAUAUUUACGUGGUUCAUUUCUGCUGUACUAAGUCUGCAUGCUAAUUAUGUCUGCAUGUCAGUCUAACCAAAAUAAAACCAUUAUUUAGGUCUGAAUUUUAUUGAACAUGUGAUAAUUUUAUUUGACAUGAAAAAUUAAAAGCACUUGGAAGGUCUGACAAAGAUCUACUAUUUAAAACUUAUCCUCAUCUUCCUAGAGGAACCCUUUCCUGAGCCUUGGAAUGCUUUUAACCUACUUUGGCUUUUUGAUUCUUAAACAUUCAUAAGUAUCUCUACACACUUUUCUGCAAAUCUGCUCAAGAAAAGUUUAUAUAAUAUUCAUUUUUGGUACAUAUGGGAGAAAUUAAGAGCCUUGCCAACACUCCCUAGUGUUGUGUUUUCCUUUUCUUUUUUCUGUGAAUGAACAAGCUACUCCCAUCUUUGCUAACAGAUCAAUGCUUUGUCUUUAUGAUAUAACAGCCAUUCAAUUGAUCUUGCAAUGCAUGGUUUGAGUAAAAUAUUCCUUAAGAAUUACUCUGCUUCACAUGAUCAUCUUCUUAUAUGAGUGUGUCAAAAAAAGCUCUUUGUUACUUUUGCCCAUUCCUCCACCCAUUUGGAUACCUCUCCCUCUCCAAUAAAUAAUCCCCAAAUUA